rnacentral:rRNA from 1 species
AGAGUUUGAUCAUGGCUCAGAUUGAACGCUGGCGGCAGGCUUAACACAUGCAAGUCGAGCGGGGUGAGGUGCUUCGGUACUGAUCCUAGCGGCGGACGGGUGAGUAAUGCUUAGGAAUCUGCCUAUUAGUGGGGGACAACAUUCCGAAAGGAAUGCUAAUACCGCAUACGUCCUACGGGAGAAAGCAGGGGAUCUUCGGACCUUGCGCUAAUAGAUGAGCCUAAGUCGGAUUAGCUAGUUGGUGGGGUAAAGGCCUACCAAGGCGACGAUCUGUAGCGGGUCUGAGAGGAUGAUCCGCCACACUGGGACUGAGACACGGCCCAGACUCCUACGGGAGGCAGCAGUGGGGAAUAUUGGACAAUGGGCGGAAGCCUGAUCCAGCCAUGGCCGCGUGUGUGAAGAAGGCCUUUUGGUUGUAAAGCACUUUAAGCGAGGAGGAGGCUACCUAGAUUAAUACUCUGGGAUAGUGGACGUUACUCGCAGAAUAAGCACCGGCUAACUCUGUGCCAGCAGCCGCGGUAAUACAGAGGGUGCGAGCGUUAAUCGGAUUUACUGGGCGUAAAGCGUGCGUAGGCGGCUGAUUAAGUCGGAUGUGAAAUCCCUGAGCUUAACUUAGGAAUUGCAUUCGAUACUGGUCAGCUAGAGUAUGGGAGAGGAUGGUAGAAUUCCAGGUGUAGCGGUGAAAUGCGUAGAGAUCUGGAGGAAUACCGAUGGCG